UGAAGAUCCAUCAUGGCCAUGUACCUUUGCAGUGGUACAUCAUACUGACGCAGAUUGUUCAUCAAUUUCUUAACCUGAAGCUCGUGACUAAAAACCACAGGAGGAAGAAGGCCACGUAAAUAGUGCGAAUCCCUUUCUUUCUCGCUGAAAGCUAACCCUUUGUUGUAAUGUGGAUUACGCAACAAUGAGUAUCCGCUAGCAACAGAGAAGUUCCAAGGAGUAAUGGUUUGAUCUUCCGUAGCAGUAUCCUCUCCGUACACAUCGCCGACUCCACCAGUGACCGUCGAUUCAGAAUCUUCAUCUAUAACUGGAGCAUUUUCCUUCAUCUCCUUCAAAGUAUUCUCCAUUAAAACACUCACAUUCCGGUCUGCCGAUCUUCCAUUUGGGUUCACAGAGACCACCACCAUAGGAAAAGAUACCCUUUUCCGGGACUGAGUCAAGCAUCUUGAAACCCCAGAUAACGAA
rnacentral:misc_RNA from 1 species